rnacentral:rRNA from 1 species
GACGAACGCUGGCGGCGUGCUUAACACAUGCAAGUCGAACGGAAAGGCCCUGCUUUUGUGGGGUGCUCGAGUGGCGAACGGGUGAGUAACACGUGAGUAACCUGCCCUUGACUUUGGGAUAACUUCAGGAAACUGGGGCUAAUACCGGAUAGGAGCUCCUGCUGCAUGGUGGGGGUUGGAAAGUUUCGGCGGUUGGGGAUGGACUCGCGGCUUAUCAGCUUGUUGGUGGGGUAGUGGCUUACCAAGGCUUUGACGGGUAGCCGGCCUGAGAGGGUGACCGGCCACAUUGGGACUGAGAUACGGCCCAGACUCCUACGGGAGGCAGCAGUGGGGAAUAUUGCACAAUGGGCGGAAGCCUGAUGCAGCAACGCCGCGUGCGGGAUGACGGCCUUCGGGUUGUAAACCGCUUUCGCCUGUGACGAAGCGUGAGUGACGGUAAUGGGUAAAGAAGCACCGGCUAACUACGUGCCAGCAGCCGCGGUGAUACGUAGGGUGCGAGCGUUGUCCGGAUUUAUUGGGCGUAAAGGGCUCGUAGGUGGUUGAUCGCGUCGGAAGUGUAAUCUUGGGGCUUAACCCUGAGCGUGCUUUCGAUACGGGUUGACUUGAGGAAGGUAGGGGAGAAUGGAAUUCCUGGUGGAGCGGUGGAAUGCGCAGAUAUCAGGAGGAACACCAGUGGCGAAGGCGGUUCUCUGGGCCUUUCCUGACGCUGAGGAGCGAAAGCGUGGGGAGCGAACAGGCUUAGAUACCCUGGUAGUCCACGCUGUAAACGGUGGGUACUAGGUGUGGGGUCCAUUCCACGGGUUCCGUGCCGUAGCUAACGCUUUAAGUACCCCGCCUGGGGAGUACGGCCGCAAGGCUAAAACUCAAAGGAAUUGACGGGGCCCCGCACAAGCGGCGGAGCAUGCGGAUUAAUUCGAUGCAACGCGUAGAACCUUACCUGGGUUUGACAUGGAUCGGGAGUGCUCAGAGAUGGGUGUGCCUCUUUUGGGGUCGGUUCACAGGUGGUGCGUGGCUGUCGUCAGCUCGUGUCGUGAGAUGUUGGGUUAAGUCCCGCAACGAGCGCAACCCUUGUUCACUGUUGCCAGCACGUUAUGGUGGGGACUCAGUGGAGACCGCCGGGGUCAACUCGGAGGAAGGUGGGGAUGGCGUCAAGUCAUCAUGCCCCUUAUGUCCAGGGCUUCACGCAUGCUACAAUGGCUGGUACAGAGAGUGGCGAGCCUGUGAGGGUGAGCGAAUCUCGGAAAGCCGGUCUCAGUUCGGAUUGGGGUCUGCAACUCGACCUCAUGAAGUCGGAGUCGCUAGUAAUCGCAGAUCAGCAACGCUGCGGUGAAUACGUUCCCGGGGCU